rnacentral:lncRNA from 1 species
AUGCAGCGUUGCUGCUGAGCCCUCCAGCAACACGGGUGGUGCUUGGGGGAACCGCGGCCAUGAUGGAGAUGUGGGAGAUGAGCAGCAGCAUUUAAGAUAAAUGCUUCCUAUCAGCCUAUUUAUUAGGAUCGUAAAUAUAGGUGAUAUGCGUGUUAGCCUUUGAUCUGAUGCUGAGUGCAGACGUCCAUCCUUGGUUUCGGCUGUCAUUAAUACCUUCAAGUUCUAAAGUGGCGCGGGCUGGAGUGGUUUACAGCAAGUGAAUUAGAUCAAUUAAUUUCCAAAGCAAACCUAAUGGGCAUUUUAGAAGAGGAUUUAAUGUCUCAUUUACUCUCUAUAGCUAUCUUGUUAAAUGCCAAUUAAGUAUCUAAAUAUUUCUUACAACGUUAAUGAAUUACAGUAUAAUAAGUAAUAAAUGAUCGCCGGUUCUUGCUAACAUGCUGAAGUCUCCUGUUAAGUUCAGUUCAGAAAGAGAACAUUUUUCUAGCACAACUUGAUUGUGCCAGUAAAACAAUUAAUUAAUAAUUAGGUAAUGUUUUAGUGAUGUGGUAGCUAACUGCAUACAGACUUCUUUUGUGCAACAGGGUACUGCCAAGAAGUGCAAGUCGGAUGACCAUUAAGGGCCAUAUAUUUGGCAGCACGAUGUCCGGCCUCCUCUGAUUGUGAAAGCGAUAGCAGGAGGGCACUCGGAGACAGGAAGGAGCUUGCAGAAAGGGAAAACGGCUGUGGGAGGCACGCGGGAGCACACGGAAAUAAGGAAAAGUGAAAUGGAGCAGGACACGAGCAGCUCCUUGUGCUGGGAGCUCAGGAAGCCGUGAAGGGAUACGUGUGAUUGCAGAGCUGGAUUGGCUGUGCUGAGGUUGCUGGGGCUGUGUCACCAACAGGCUGAGCUCUGCAAGUUCUUGCUGAGCGCUG